UACGUAGGGGUCCGAGCGUUGUCCGGAAUUACUGGGCGUAAAGAGCUCGUAGGUGGUUUGUCGCGUUGUUCGUGAAAACUCACAGCUCAACUGUGGGCGUGCGGGCGAUACGGGCAGACUUGAGUACUGCAGGGGAGACUGGAAUUCCUGGUGUAGCGGUGGAAUGCGCAGAUAUCAGGAGGAACACCAGUGGCGAAAGGCGGCUUACUGGUCCAUAACUGACGC
rnacentral:rRNA from 1 species